AGGCUGGAUAUUGAGAGGGAGGGAACAGCCAGGAGGGCAUUCUUCCCCACCCUCAGCCCUCACUCUGGACCACCCUGAGCCAUAUCUGGUUCACAGGAUCUGUUCUCCAUGCCUCCAACUACAAGAAAUGACCUGAAGUGCCUGCUGACCUAGGAUGUUGUAAGAGAUAGCUCAGUGGUUAAGAGCACUCUUUGUUCUUCCAGAGGAUAAGGGUUCAGUUUCCAGCCACCAUGGCAGUUAACAACUGUUCGCAACUGCAGUUCCAGAGGGUCUGAUAGCCUCUUCUGUCCCCCAAAGCACUUUAUGUGCACAGUACACAGACAUGCAUGCAAGCAAAACACCCAUUCAUGUCACAUAAAAAUACAAGAAGUAUAGAAGGAGGAUGAAGAGGAGGAGGAAGAAGAGGAGGAAGAAGAGGAGGAGGAAGAAGAAAAGAAGAGAAAGAGAAGCAGCUCUUUUGAAUUCUGACUAUCAGGACAAAAUAAAACACUAUAGACUUAGAUUUUUGCACAUCUGUCUACCAUGUAUUAGAACUAAGAAAAGCCGGCCAGCGAGAUGUCACAGUGUGCCAAACCUGAUGGCCUGAGUUCUAUCUUGAGGGCCCCCAUAGUCGAAGAGAACUGAUUCCUGCAAGAUCUCCCCUGACUUUCACACAUUCUUCAGUGGUACAUAUAUCCCUCCAAUAAAUGUAAUUUAAAACAU
rnacentral:lncRNA from 1 species